rnacentral:rRNA from 1 species
UUAACGAGCGAGACCUGGGCGUGCUAACUAGGGGGUUCUACGAUUUUCGUAGUACGCUUACCCUUCUUAGACGGACUGGGGGCGUCCAGCCCCCGGAAGCUCCAG